UUUACCUGCAAAUCAUAGUUUAACUGUGGAAGAUAUUAAAAAGGACACACAAAAUAUUCUCAGCAAUGUGGAACAAUACAAGGAAAUUGUGGAAAUGAAUAAACAGGUAAAGGACAAAAUCAAGUGGAUUCUUAAAGAAUCUGGUGGCGAAAAGCAAGUUUCCGAAAUACUUAGAAUGCUGACACGGGACGUAAGAG